rnacentral:rRNA from 1 species
CCUACGGGAGGCUGCAGUGAGGAAUAUUGGUCAAUGGACGAGAGUCUGAACCAGCCAAGUAGCGUGAAGGAUGACUGCCCUAUGGGUUGUAAACUUCGUUUAUAUGGGAAUAAAAUGUUCCACGUGUGGGAUUUUGUAUGUACCAUAUGAAUAAGGAUCGGCUAACUCCGUGCCAGCAGCCGCGGUAAUACGGAGGAUCCGAGCGUUAUCCGGAUUUAUUGGGUUUAAAGGGAGCGUAGGUGGAUUGUUAAGUCAGUUGUGAAAGUGUGCGGCUCAACCGUAAAAUUGCAGUUGAAACUGGCAGUCUUGAGUACAGUAGAGGUGGGCGGAAUUCGUGGUGUAGCGGUGAAAUGCUUAGAUAUCACGAAGAACUCCGAUUGCGAAGGCAGUUCACUGGACUGCAACUGACACUGAGGCUCGAAAGUGUGGGUAUCAAACAGGAUUAGAUACCCCAGUAGUC